CUGGAAGACAGGCUGACAGUCCAUACUUUGUCGGCGCGGUCAGGGAGACACAGAAGUGGGGUGAAGGUAUCGCAUCACCCACUGGAUGGGAUAUUGAUGGCAAGUACCUUGAUCAGAACGAGCAAGACUUGAAGAUGAGGUACGUAAAGUUUUAGAAAGACUGGCCUUUAUUUGGCGUCACGUUGAUGUGUGAUUCAUGGACUGGCCCGAUGAGAAUGAGUGUUAUCAACUUUUUGAUAUAUUGCAAUGGGGUCAUGUGGUUCCAUAAAUCUAUUGAUGCGAGUGGAAGAACUCAAGAUGCUGCAUAUUUGUUCAAGGAGAUUCGAAAGGUGGUGGAAGAGAUUGGACCGGAGAAUGUCGUGCACGUAGUCACCGACAAUGGCUCGAACUACAAGAAAGCAUGCAAGGAACUACUAAUUGAGGUGUAUGAACACAUAGCUUGGACACCUUGUCUAGCACACACCAUCAAUUUGAUGUUGAAGGAUAUAGCUCGAAGGCCUGAACAUGGUGUUAUGAUCAAGCAGUGCAAGCGAAUUUCAA